CUCUGGGCACUGACACCGCUCUGUCUGCGGAUUAGACGCGCCCUGUAUCUGGGUUCAGACGAAUUAGAGGCUCAUACAAAUCUUUGCAGGGAUAACUGGGCAGAGAAGAAGAUUAAAAAUUGGCUUAGAGCAGCAGAGACUUGUGCACAGAACGCCUACGGCUUACAGUGCUACAGCUGCAACAUCAUCUCCGGGGCCCGAUACAUAGACCAGGGCUGCACGAGCCCGGAGGUCAGCACCUGCUCCCACUCACACAAGGGAUUCAAGCAGAGAUUCUGUAUCAAGACGGAAAGCGUGGUGUUGGGGAAACUUCUGACCAGCGGAUGCGCCACGUCCCGUCACUGUCAGCAGCAGGAGCUGCCGGGGGUGCGGAUCCACUGCUGUGACACGGAUCUAUGCAACAGAGCCACACAUCCCUCCAGCGUCAGUCUCCUCCUCGGCCUCCUGUGGAUGAUCUGCUUCUUUAUCUAGAUCCUUGGUUCCCUGGACCGUUCAGAUCAUGCGGGGGGGCAGCAUCAAUUCUGUCUUAUUCCUCCAAAUCAGGAGACGGUG